CCCUGACUAUCCUGGAACUCACUCUAUAGACCAGGCUGGCCUCAAACUCAGAGAUCCACCAGCCUCUGCCUUCUGAAUGCUAGGAUUAAAGAUGUGCACCGCUGUGCCCAGCAGGAAUACAUCUUGAUGGUGAAGAAGACUCUUAGACCAAAGCUGAGUCCUGACGGCAUCUGCUGUAGGUUUCUUUCCGACCCCAGAGUCCUUAUGAAGCAGGGCAAUGCAUGUCAGUGACCCCAGAGUCCUUACGAAGUGUGUGGCAAUGCAUGUCAGUGACCCCAGAGUCCUUAUGAACGGUGACAAUGCAUGUUCGUGACAAAGCACAUGCAAUAUCUGGACUACAACUGAUGCCCAGUUAAGCUGUUUGUAUUAUUUAUCAUCUUGGUCCAAUGGGCAAACACUUGUGUACAAAAAAAAAAAAAAUACCAUCCGGUGUGGGUGACCCCCCAAGUGCGUCUUCUGUGGAAGUGAGAGGAUCCUCAAGUACUUUACCGUCUUCUCAUCCCGCUACUCAUCGUCCAGGACAGCUUACAGCCCUAUCUUCCACACCGGCUGUCAGUUCCUCCGGGGUAGGCGUGUGGAACAUCCCCUCUGGGGCCCUUCUCCUUCCGAGGAAUCACCUAGGACACAUACAUCUUGGGCCCUUGUGAGUAGCCGGGGAAGAGGACAUUCCUUGAAUGCAAGUGAUGCCAUCCGUCUUAGUUACUGCGUGACUGCCAAGGAGACACCGUGAUCAGGACAACUUAUAGAAGAAAGCAUUUAGUUGGGGGCUUGCGGUUUCAGAGGAUUAGUUCACGAUCAUCAAAGCUCUGGAAUAGCUAAGAGCUUAUAUCCAAUCCACAAGCAGAAGACCGAGAGAGAAAACAAGAGACUGAGUCUGGCAUGGGCUUUUGAUACCUCAAAACCUACUCCCAGUGACAAACUUCUUCCAACAAGGCCACACCUCUGAAUCCUUCCUAAACAGUUCCACUAACUGAUAACCAAAUGUUCAAAUAGAUGAGCCUAUGGGGGCCAUUUUCAUUAAAAUAGCAUGCCAUCCCGUGGGCUGGGGUUCCAGACUGUAUGAAAAGGAAAAUAAAAUGGGUCUGGGAAGAUGG